AUGGAGGGAGCUGAUUUAGUCUUUCACUAUGUUCAGACUCAUUUAUAUUUCAACAAUGUCUUUCUAUUCAGUAAUGGUAUGAAUAAAUGUAUAGAAAUAUUCAUACCAACAAAGGGAGACUGCAUCUUUCCCUUUCCAUCUCUCUCCUAUACACUCUGGUUUGUUGUUGACAUGACAAAUGAAGCGUCAAAGGGAGACUGCAUCUUUCCCUUUCCAUCUCUCUCCUAUACACUCUGGUUUGUUGUUGACAUGACAAAUGAAGCGUCAAAGGGAGACUGCAUCUUUCCCUUUCCAUCUCUCUCCUAUACACUCUGGUUUGUUGUUGACAUGACAAAUGAAGCGUCAAAGGGAGACUGCAUCUUUCCCUUUCCAUCUCUCUCCUAUACACUCUGGUUUGUUGUUGACAUGACAAAUGAAGCGUCAAAGGGAGACUGCAUCUUUCCCUUUCCAUCUCUCUCCUAUACACUCUGGUUUGUUGUUGACAUGACAAAUGAAGCGUCAAAGGGAGACUGCAUCUUUCCCUUUCCAUCUCUCUCCUAUACACUCUGGUUUGUUGUUGACAUGACAAAUGAAGCGUCAAAGGGAGACUGCAUCUUUCCCUUUCCAUCUCUCUCCUAUACACUCUGGUUUGUUGUUGACAUGACAAAUGAAGCGUCAAAGGGAGACUGCAUCUUUCCCUUUCCAUCUCUCUCCUAUACACUCUGGUUUGUUGUUGACAUGACAAAUGAAGCGUCAAAGGGAGACUGCAUCUUUCCCUUUCCAUCUCUCUCCUAUACACUCUGGUUUGUUGUUGACAUGACAAAUGAAGCGUCAAAGGGAGACUGCAUCUUUCCCUUUCCAUCUCUCUCCUAUACACUCUGGUUUGUUGUUGACAUGACAAAUGAAGCGUCAAAGGGAGACUGCAUCUUUCCCUUUCCAUCUCUCUCCUAUACACUCUGGUUUGUUGUUGACAUGACAAAUGAAGCGUCAAAGGGAGACUGCAUCUUUCCCUUUCCAUCUCUCUCCUAUACACUCUGGUUUGUUGUUGACAUGACAAAUGAAGCGUCAAAGGGAGACUGCAUCUUUCCCUUUCCAUCUCUCUCCUAUACACUCUGGUUUGUUGUUGACAUGACAAAUGAAGCGUCAAAGGGAGACUGCAUCUUUCCCUUUCCAUCUCUCUCCUAUACACUCUGGUUUGUUGUUGACAUGACAAAUGAAGCGUCAAAGGGAGACUGCAUCUUUCCCUUUCCAUCUCUCUCCUAUACACUCUGGUUUGUUGUUGACAUGACAAAUGAAGCGUCAAAGGGAGACUGCAUCUUUCCCUUUCCAUCUCUCUCCUAUACACUCUGGUUUGUUGUUGACAUGACAAAUGAAGCGUCAAAGGGAGACUGCAUCUUUCCCUUUCCAUCUCUCUCCUAUACACUCUGGUUUGUUGUUGACAUGACAAAUGAAGCGUCAAAGGGAGACUGCAUCUUUCCCUUUCCAUCUCUCUCCUAUACACUCUGGUUUGUUGUUGACAUGACAAAUGAAGCGUCAAAGGGAGACUGCAUCUUUCCCUUUCCAUCUCUCUCCUAUACACUCUGGUUUGUUGUUGACAUGACAAAUGAAGCGUCAAAGGGAGACUGCAUCUUUCCCUUUCCAUCUCUCUCCUAUACACUCUGGUUUGUUGUUGACAUGACAAAUGAAGCGUCAAAGGGAGACUGCAUCUUUCCCUUUCCAUCUCUCUCCUAUACACUCUGGUUUGUUGUUGACAUGACAAAUGAAGCGUCAAAGGGAGACUGCAUCUUUCCCUUUCCAUCUCUCUCCUAUACACUCUGGUUUGUUGUUGACAUGACAAAUGAAGCGUCAAAGGGAGACUGCAUCUUUCCCUUUCCAUCUCUCUCCUAUACACUCUGGUUUGUUGUUGACAUGACAAAUGAAGCGUCAAAGGGAGACUGCAUCUUUCCCUUUCCAUCUCUCUCCUAUACACUCUGGUUUGUUGUUGACAUGACAAAUGAAGCGUCAAAGGGAGACUGCAUCUUUCCCUUUCCAUCUCUCUCCUAUACACUCUGGUUUGUUGUUGACAUGACAAAUGAAGCGUCAAAGGGAGACUGCAUCUUUCCCUUUCCAUCUCUCUCCUAUACACUCUGGUUUGUUGUUGACAUGACAAAUGAAGCGUCAAAGGGAGACUGCAUCUUUCCCUUUCCAUCUCUCUCCUAUACACUCUGGUUUGUUGUUGACAUGACAAAUGAAGCGUCAGAAUGAGUUGAUGUUUUACUAGGUGGAGAGAGAUGGAGUGAGAGGAAGAUGUAUGUGUAUUGAUGUGUGGAUUGAUGGAAGCAUGGAUGGAUAUGUGUUGUCAUGGAUACAGAGACAGAACACUGAGGGCAUGAGGCCAGUCUAUCAGGCCUCCUGCUGAAGGGAGGAGCACAUGGCUACAGAAUGGAACUGAUAAGGACUCCACUAUAGGUUCCUGUGCCCCUCUCUGCAUGUAGGAUGACGAUCUUGCAUCAGACUAAACCACAGGGGAGGCUUUCGGUUCAGUUCCAGGCCGAUCCUCGACUGUUCUGACUAGUUUUAUAUCCUAAAGUUUCUAGCCUUUUUACCAUCUUCUGCAAUCCAUAUGUUUUUGUUCAUUCCCUUAUUCCCCCUUUUAAUUUGUCCUUUGGGUGAAGCCGCUAAAGAUAAGCCCAAAAACUCCUACAUUUCCUCAGGGGACCAUGGAGAGAGGAGACUGUGACAGUGGACCUGGGGCCUCACAAAGUACAUGCGUCUCACAGUGAUUUGAACCGUUAGGUCAUAACUUAGUGUGUGUGUGUGUAUAUAUAUAUAUAUAUAUCAGUGAGGGGGAAAAGUAUUUGAUCCCCUGCUGAUUUUGAACGUUUGUCCACUGACAAAGAAAUGACCCGUCUAUAAUUUUAAUGGUAGUUUUAUUUGAACAGUGAGAGACAGAAUAACAACAAAAAAAUCCAGAAAACGCAUGUCAAAAAUGUUAUAAAUUGAUUUGCAUUUUAAUGAGGGAAAAACUUUUUUGACCCCCUCUCAAUCAAAAAGAUUGAGAGGGGGUCUGGCUCCCUUAUUUUUUAUACAGGUAACGAGCUGAGAUUAGGAGCACACUCUUAAAGGGAGUGCUCCUAAUCUCAGUUUGUUACCUGUAUAAAAGACACCUGUCCACAGAAGCAAUCAAUUAAUCAGAUUGCAAACUCUCCACCAUGGCCAAGACCAAAGAGCUCUCCAAGGAUGUCAGGGACAAGAUUGUAGACCUUCACAAGGCUGGAAUGGGCUACAAUACCAUCGCCUAGCAGCUUGGUGAGAAGGUGACAACAGUUGGUGUGAUAAUUCGCAAAUGGAAGAAACACAAAAGAACUGUCAAUCUCCCUCGGCCUGGGGCUCCAUGCAAGAUCUCACCUUGUGGAGUUGCAAUGAUCAUGAGAACGGUGAGGAAUCAGCCCAGAACUACACGGGAGGAUCUCAAGGCAGCUGGGACCAUAGUCACCAAGAAAACAAUUGGUAACACACUACGCCGUGAAGGACUAAAAUCCUGCAGCGCCCGCAAGGUCCCCCUGCGUAAGAAAGCAAUGACCCAAAACACACAGCCAAGGCAACAAAGGAGUGGCUCAAGAAGAAGCACCUGGCCUAGCCAGUCUCCAGACCUUAAUCCCGUAGAAAAUCUGUGGAGGGAGCUGAAGGUUCGAGUUGCCAAACGUCAGCCUCGAAACCUUAAUGACUUGGAGAAGAUCUGCAAAGAGGAGUGGGACAAAAUCCCUCCUGAGAUGUGUGCAAACCUGGUGGCCAACUACAAGAAACGUCUGACCUCUGUGAUUGCCAACAAGGGUUUUGCCACCAAGUACUAAGUCAUGUUUUGGGGGGUCAAAUACUUAUUUCCCUCAUUAAAAUGCAAAUCAAUUUAUAAAAGAUUUGACAUGCGAUUUUUCUGGAUUUUUUGUUGUUGUUGUUAUUCUGACUCACUGUUCAAAUAAACCUACCAUUAAAAAAGUAUAAACUGAUCCUUUCUUUGUCAGUGGGCAAACAUACAAAUAUAUAUAUCACUACAGCUAAGGACACGUACUGGGUCCACAGUCACCUAUCACCUCCAUUGGGGCUUGAUGGGGGUGAUUUAUAUGCCAAGAGAGUAAUUCUUCAUCACAGAAAUAUGUGUAAUCCAGCAUUUGCUUUACUGUAUAAAAUCCUCCUCCUUGCAGUCAUUUAAAUGGGGGUGGGAGUGGUCUGUUUGGAACUCAGGUCAGGUUUGGGGUCAGGACUCAGGGUCUGGUCGUGUUCACGUUGUGUUCGGACAGAGAACUGUCAGUGGAGGAUCAGUAAGAUACCCUGAUUAGCAUCAAGAACUCGUCUCACAGUAGUGACUAUGCAUGUUCAAGACAAUAUUUGUACCUGUGCUUAUGACUUUUGUAUGAUUAACAUUUCAUGACUUGAUGAAGAACCAAAUAUUGUUGUGAUAUGAUAAUAAGGAUACUGAUGGUGUUGAUAAAAAUGAUAAUAAUGGCAUCUAUGUUUGGCAUGCCCCUCCCCCCUCCUCUGUAUCAACACCCACCCUAGCCUUUGACUGGACCAAGCAUCUUGCUGAGCAGGAGGGUGCCACCUGUUGUGUUAAAGUAGUAUAGGCCUGUAGAUACAUUUUUCUAUAUUUAUUAACAACUUGUAAGCUUUGAUUCUGACAAAUGAAAUUCUCUGCUCAAUUAUGCAAUAAUAUUGUAAAAUCAGUUUAGCACAUGUUUUGCCUUUUGUUUUGGAAUUUCAAAUGUCUAUGCAAAUGGGGAAGUAUCAGUAAAUAAAUGUCUUUAUAUUUCUGAUCACUUGUCAUGUUUUGUUUUCAAAUCAAAUUUUAUUGAUCACAUACACAUGGUUAGCAGAUGUUAUUGUGAGUGUAGCGAAAUGCAGAUUUUUACUCUAAACCUACAAUUAUUUAUUUUUUAAUAGUCAUGUUGAUGUACUGAACUGUAGGUCAUUCUGUUAUUCUUUGCCUUACUAAUGGCUACCAAUGAAGGUGAUUUCCUACAGCAUACAGUGCCGUGAAAAACAAUAUUUGCCCCAUUUCUGAUUUUCUCUAUUUUUGCAUAUUUUCGACACUGGUUUUUAGAUCUUCAACCAAAACCUAAUAUUAGAUAAAGGGACCUGAGUUAACAAAUA
rnacentral:lncRNA from 1 species